rnacentral:rRNA from 1 species
ACGACUACACUCCUACGGGAGGCAGCAGUGGGGAAUAUUGGACAAUGGGCGAAAGCCUGAUCCAGCAAUGCCGCGUGAGUGAUGAAGGCCUUAGGGUUGUAAAGCUCUUUUACCAGGGAUGAUAAUGACAGUACCUGGAGAAUAAGCUCCGGCUAACUCCGUGCCAGCAGCCGCGGUAAUACGGAGGGAGCUAGCGUUGUUCGGAAUUACUGGGCGUAAAGCGCACGUAGGCGGCGAUUCAAGUCAGAGGUGAAAGCCCGGGGCUCAACCCCGGAACUGCCUUUGAAACUAGAUUGCUAGAAUCCUGGAGAGGCGAGUGGAAUUCCGAGUGUAGAGGUGAAAUUCGUAGAUAUUCGGAAGAACACCAGUGGCGAAGGCGACUCGCUGGACAGGUAUUGACGCUGAGGUGCGAAAGCGUGGGGAGCAAACAGGAUUAGAUACCCUUGUAGUCCACCAAUCC